CAGCUUUCCUUUCUUUCUGUUCCCUAUGCUCUCUCUCAAAAUUCCAUACUUUUAAUUCUUAUUUUUAUUUUCCUUGUAAUAAUAAUAAAGCCCUGUCUCGUUUUAAGUGUUUUAACUCCCGAUCACCGCUACCCUUUCCGAUUAAUCUGAGCCCUAUAACGCAUGUCAAGGCUCUGCCUGACUAAGUCCGUUUGGGUUCUAUCUCGGGACUUCGGGACAAGGUUGAUUUAGGGGUAUUAUACUUACCACGAGUGCAAUAUAUAUAUUUUUUAGCCCAAAAGUUAUACCCAAAAUUUAUACCAGGAGGUUUUCUAGUUGAACCCUAAAGUUACACAGUGGGUCCAUUCCUUUUUCCCACCAUUUUAUUCUCCUUUUGUAAGUUACCCAAAACUAUUAUUUAUUAUUUAUUAUUUCUAUUUUGUAAACAAACUUUCAUCAAAAGUCAUGCCUAUUAUUUUAUUUACCCGAUAGGGAACCAUAGUUGAGACACCCAAGUAAUCCUGCACAACUCCUAAAAUUUUCGUAGCAAUCAGAAUCAGGAUCAGGGCCCCUAAAACUCAGGGGGGGAUAAACCCUAGUUGAUAAUUAUCAACUAAAUUCGUUGUACAGAUUCUAAAUUGAUUUUAAAAUGAGUCAGCAAAGCUAGUCCCGAAACCAGCUAGGCUAGGUAAAUAGACUACACCCUUUACGGACCGUAAGGGUAAGUCCUUACGGACCGUAAGCCUACCGGUUUCCUUUACGGACCGUAAGGGUUAAGUCAUACGGUCCGUAAGGGAGUCCCAAAAUUCACUAUAAAUAGCAGACAUUGGCAGUAGCUUUCUAAAGUUGAAACGACAUAAAUUGGUGGCCUGUACGUCGAAUUAGAGCUAUAAUACUACAAUUAAACACACACUGCAUUCGAAUCGCUGCCGCAGAACAGGGUAAUUACUCGAUCGCUAUUACGAUUCAUUUUCCGAGAUCAAUAUAUCCAAAGAAUGUUUAAGUGCCGCCCAUAUUAGGGUGAUACUUUGUCGUUCGUCGUUAAUUCGAUGAAUGUUUAAGUAUCGCACUUUGUCGUUCGUUGUGAGAAUUUGAUCUCGUGAGUUAUCGUAAAAGCUGUAUUGAUCAUUAACCCGGUUUUUGUGAAAUUCAUUAAGGUUCGAAUCUCAUGACUACCGUUAAGGUUGAUUUGGGUUUUACACCAAUACGUAUUCCAUUCUAUUAAACCACCAAAAAUACUCCCAACUACACCCUUACAAUCAAACAAACUAUUAAAUCAUCAGAAGAUCCAGAAUAAUAAAGUGCAUGCUUAAUUAUCGGAAGAAGUAGAAUCAAGAAGUUUGUUAACUCAAUCUUGCAUGCUGAUUUGUAAUUACAGUAGAUUGGAGUAAGGAUUGGAUCCGGCACUAAAGGACUUCAAGAAGUGGCUUAUUUUAUUAAUUAAAUCAACUUAAGAAAUAUUGUUUUUGGGUUAUCCCGUAUUAAAAGCUACCUUUGUAAAACAUGGAAUUUAUUCCAUCUAUUUAAAUAA
rnacentral:lncRNA from 1 species